rnacentral:rRNA from 1 species
GGCCUACGGGGCGCAGCAGUGGGGGAUAUUGCACAAUGGGGGAAACCCUGAUGCAGCGACGCCGCGUGGGUGAAGAAGCGCCUCGGCGCGUAAAGCCCUGUCAGCAGGGAAGAAAAUGACGGUACCUGAAGAAGAAGCCCCGGCUAACUACGUGCCAGCAGCCGCGGUAAUACGUAGGGGGCAAGCGUUAUCCGGAUUUACUGGGUGUAAAGGGGGCGCAGACGGCGAUGCAAGCCAGGAGUGAAAGCCCGGGGCCCAACCCCGGGACUGCUCUUGGAGCUGCGGGGCUAGAGUGCAGGGGGGGG